rnacentral:lncRNA from 1 species
CCCCUACCCUCCCCCCACCACCCCCACAAAAGUCAGAACCCACACAUCACCCCUCCCAUCCUCAUCGCACGCACGACUCUUAGCAAGAACGGGAAUACAUUUUAUUUCAAACUCGUAUUGAAGAAGAAAAAGAUAAAUCAAAUGGCUGAUAACUCUGGAUAUCCAUCAAAGCAAAUGAAGGUUUCACUGGCGAGGAGGCAAGCUCAGAAUAAGUCCCUCCAGCAACAAAAUGAGCAGCUGAAGCUUGAGAAUGAGAAAUUAAAGAAAGAGAAUUAUGCAAUCAAGUUGCAGGAGUUCAAUAGUAUAUGCGGUACUUGUCAUAUGAGGGCUGAAAAUGCUUGCCUUGGAACUGAGAUUCAACGCCUUUAUGCCCGUGCUACAAACCAGGAGACUGAAGCACAACCUGAAGAAGUGGACCUUCCAUUCCCCCCUACAGCUGGGUCUCAGGAAGGAGCACCACUCAACCAAGAUGAACCAGCACCACCGUCCAAGUAGGCCUCGUUGGCAUGGCUUCUUUGAUCUCUCCUCUUAUGUCCCUGUGGUAUUCCCAAUGCUUUUUAACAAUUGUGGCUGCGCCAAUAUGUUGAUGAACUAUGGAAAUACCAACAGGAGCAGAAGUGUGGGGGAUCAGGAGGCUUGGCCGGUCUUAGCCUUUAUAUUUAUGCAAUGGCAUUAAAAACUAGCAAUAAAUUCAGUACUAUGUGUGUGCCAAUCCCAAAAUAAAAUUAUGUACUACAGUUGAGCACCUAAACUCUGCUUAAUUGGAAGAUGGUAUAUCUUCUCUAUUAAUUACAUUUCGGACAUGCU